GUUUUAAUAAUUUAAAUAAAAUAUUGGUCUUGUAAACCAAAAAUAAGGAACAACCUUUUAAAACU
rnacentral:tRNA from 1 species